GGCCUCCAGGGCAUCACACCCUCACCCUCUGGUGGAGCAGAAACUGCCAGGGAAGCUGCCCUGAGAAGAUGCCCCUAAAGUUCCAACUACCAAGGGGGGCCUUAUGGGUACUAGACAAGUGUUCUACCGAGCUACCUCUCAAAACGCAGUACAGCAUCUCAGCCCAGACUGCUUCAGUCACACUCCGCAGAAUCAAAGACGGCAUACUUCAGUGGGCGUCUAGGUGGCAUCAGUUCUGAUCCCUUUGGGAGCUGUUGCAAGUCCCCUCCUCCUGCAGAGAGGCAGCAAAGGGCAAGCAGCUGGCGGUGAAACUGUUGAAGGUAACUCCUUGGAACAUAAGGCCCACUCUGCCAUUACAGCCCCUGGAAAUGCUCCUCCUACUACAGACAGCAGCACCUGGACGACUCCAAGCCUGCUUCCUAUGGAAUAAUUGAUUUCAGGACCGGAGAGUUAGUGUAAGAAACCCACCAUGGUGUGUGUAUGCGUGCGUGCGUGUGUGCGUAUUCCCAUGUGUGACUGUGGAUGCAUUAUGUGCCACAGCACAC